rnacentral:rRNA from 1 species
UACGUAGGGGGCAAGCGUUGUCCGGAAUCAUUGGGCGUAAAGCGCGUGUAGGCGGUCCGGUAAGUCCGCUGUCAAAGUCGGGGGCUCAACCCUCGGAUGCCGGUGGAUACUGUCGGGCUUGAGUACGGAAGAGGCGAGUGGAAUUCCUGGUGUAGCGGUGAAAUGCGCAGAUAUCAGGAGGAACACCAAUUGCGAAGGCAGCUCGCUGGGACGUUACUGACGCUGAGACGCGAAAGCGUGGGGAGCAAACAGG